AUAUAGCAAACACUAACAUAUUCACGUUUACUAUAGAUUUUCAGCAGGAUGUAACCAAAAAUUAUAAUUUAAUUGUUUUCAGUGAUGGUUCAGAGCGGAAUAAAACUUCUGAGACGUGUUCGUCAAGUGAAGUCGUCAGGACGCCUAUUCCUGGAUCUCCUGAACUAUCAAUCGCCGAAGAGAUUCCCAUAGAACCACUCCAACCAGAACACAAUGUUGUUGACGAGGGAGACCGUGAAACAACAAACAAAGGAUUCGGUAUUUUAGAUUGGCCAUCUGAAGAAUCAGAAAGUGAACUACCGGAUUUGGUAGUUGAGAAGGACCCUCCACUUAAACCUGUGACUGAUUGUAUAUCAGGAAACCGAUGUGUUGAUAUCGGCCACGUUUUUAAACAAAUGGAAUCCAUAAAACUACACAAAAAGGAAUGUACGAUGGGAAGGUACACGAUUCAUUCAGAAAAACGCUCUGGAUUUUUUUCAACUUGGAGAUUUGUUUGUGAAACUUGUAACCAAGUUCAAGACGUGUCUUCUCACAAAGACGACUUUGCAGAAGACAUCAAUAAUGCCGCUGUUUGGGGUGCUGUUUCUAUUGGAAUUGGGUACAGCCAAUUAGAGGAAAUGUUUUCCAUCAUGGAUAUCCCCGUCAUGUCAUGCGAAAAGUUCCAGAAACACGAAAGUACCAUUCAACAGGCAUGGGAAAACCAUCUUACAUCUAAACUGAAAGAAGCAGGCCAGCAAGAAAAGAAAAUUGCUGAACAAAAAGGACAUUAUCUAAAUGGCAUCCCCUAUGUAACAGUGUUGGGUGAUGGAGGAUGGGGAAAGCGAACGUAUGGACAUGGAUAUAAUUCCUCUACAGGAGUUGUAAGCACCAAUUUGUUAUCACAUUACUUGUUACAGGUUUUUAAACUGUUGCAAGUAAAAUAUUUUUCCAUAUUUUUAAUAACUUUUUAAAAAUUUUUACUUGUACU